rnacentral:rRNA from 1 species
AGGGAAAGUUUUUCGGUGUAGGAUGAGACUAUAUAGUAUCAGCUAGUUGGUAAGGUAAUGGCUUACCAAGGCUAUGACGCUUAACUGGUCUGAGAGGAUGAUCAGUCACACUGGAACUGAGACACGGUCCAGACUCCUACGGGAGGCAGCAGUAGGGAAUAUUGCGCAAUGGGGGAAACCCUGACGCAGCAACGCCGCGUGGAGGAUGACACUUUUCGGAGCGUAAACUCCUUUUCUUAGGGAAGAAUUCUGACGGUACCUAAGGAAUAAGCACCGGCUAACUCCGUGCCAGCAGCCGCGGUAAUACGGAGGGUGCAAGCGUUACUCGGAAUCACUGGGCGUAAAGGGCGCGUAGGCGGAUUAUCAAGUCUCUUGUGAAAUCUAAUGGCUUAACCAUUAAACUGCUUGGGAAACUGAUAGUCUAGAGUGAGGGAGAGGCAGAUGGAAUUGGUGGUGUAGGGGUAAAAUCCGUAGAUAUCACCAAGAAUACCCAUUGCGAAGGCGAUCUGCUGGAACUCAACUGACGCUAAGGCGCGAAAGCGUGGGGAGCAAACAGGAUUAGAUACCCUGGUAGUCCACGCCCUAAACGAUGUACACUAGUUGUUGGGGUGCUAGUCAUCUCAGUAAUGCAGCUAACGCAUUAAGUGUACCGCCUGGGGAGUACGGUCGCAAGAUUAAAACUCAAAGGAAUAGACGGGGACCCGCACAAGCGGUGGAGCAUGUGGUUUAAUUCGAAGAUACGCGAAGAACCUUACCUGGGCUUGAUAUCCUAAGAACCUUAUAGAGAUAUGAGGGUGCUAGCUUGCUAGAACUUAGAGACAGGUGCUGCACGGCUGUCGUCAGCUCGUGUCGUGAGAUGUUGGGUUAAGUCCCGCAACGAGCGCAACCCACGUAUUUAGUUGCUAACGGUUCGGCCGAGCACUCUAAAUAGACUGCCUUCGUAAGGAGGAGGAAGGUGUGGACGACGUCAAGUCAUCAUGGCCCUUAUGCCCAGGGCGACACACGUGCUACAAUGGCAUAUACAAUGAGACGCAAUACCGCGAGGUGGAGCAAAUCUAUAAAAUAUGUCCCAGUUCGGAUUGUUCUCUGCAACUCGAGAGCAUGAAGCCGGAAUCGCUAGUAAUCGUAGAUCAGCCAUGCUACGGUGAAUACGUUCCCGGGUCUUGUACUCACCGCCCGUCACACCAUGGGAGUUGAUUUCACUCGAAGCCGGAAUACUAAACUAGUUACCGUCCACAGUGGAAUCAGCGACUGGGGUGAAGUCGUAACAAGGUAACCGUAGGAGAACCUGCGGUUGGAUCACCUCCUUUCUA